GGGUUGUGAGGUUAAGCGACUAAGCGUACACGGUGGAUGCUUGGCAGUCAGAGGCGAUGAAGGACGUGCUAAUCUGCGAUAAGCGUCGGUAAGGUGAUAUGAACCGUUAUAACCGGCGAUUUCCGAAUGGGGAAACCCAG
rnacentral:rRNA from 1 species